GGCACCGCGAGGAAUGUUCAAGUAUCACUAUGAGUCAUUAAGAAGUGGAGGAGAUUAUAUUUAUAAACUUAAUGUAAUAUGUCUCUCAAAGUACUGAAAUGAGAGUGAUUAUGAUCUUAAAGUUUUGCUUCUUAAAGGCAUAAUCGUUCAACAGUUAUGACUUAAGUGGACUGGGGAAAGUCAACUGUGCAAAAUCACAUUCUGUGGUUGGAUGAAUUUGACCAGCACGCUGAUCCUUCUUAAAGAAGACGGAAAAAACAGAUACUGGGGAUAACUAGUGCUUCUCUUCCGCCAGGUAAUAGAGACAUUAGCAAUAUUAACUUCGGGCCUGGGAGAGGCAAGAUUCCACGAAGCAAGCAAGCAGGAGAGAUCUCUGAAGAGAAGGCAGAGGAGACACUGAGGGAACCCUCUGAGAAAGUGACUGUGGCUUUGCCCUUCUCCUUGGUGGACCGCGACAAGUCUGUGAUUGAUCACUUAAUCACCUGUCCCUUUAAAAUACCAAGUCUUCCCACGGACGGGGACAAGAGGCCGGAUUACCCUGGAGAGCUCUCACUCACGCAAAGGAAAUCCUGUAGGAACUUGAUAAAAAAUCAUUGUGGAUGAUUGAUUUCAUUUAUCAAUACUUUUAAACUUUUUAUUUCAUAAGUUUUCUUUCUUCCCUCUGGAUUCAUGGAGAGCACAUAGUUUAACUCAUCAGAUAUAAAUCUAUAAACCCAGGAUUGAGAGUCUGCUAUAACACAUCCCUCCCAGUCUCUUCCAGAUGUCUUUUUUUUUUUUUUUAAGAUUUUGGUUUUUUAAGUAAUCUCUACACCCAACAUGGGGGCUCAAACUUACAACCUAGAGAUCAAGUCUUGUGCUCUACUGACUGAGCCAGUCAGGCAUUUCCCCUCCCCCUCCACCACUGAUGUUUUUAUGUGCCUGUCCCAACGAUCAGACAGUAUGCCAGGAAGACAAAGUCUCAGUAAUCUCUACUGCUCCUAGAACUCUCUAAAGUGAGUUAAGCUCUUCUGUGAAUGGCCCUCCUAGUUCCUUUUUCUUCAUUUAAGGUCUUGGUAGUAGAGAGAUACUAAGUUUCAAGAUCUUCCUUCUUCCUAGUACUGACUAUUGUCAAGUCCACUUUUAGCACUUCCCAAACUCUGUUUUAUAUUCAGUAUAAAAGAUAUUUAACUUUAAUUCACCUAGUCAACAUUUUUACCACAUUAGAGGGAUGGAAGCCUUCCUACGUUUAUGAAGGGCAACUUAGAAAGUUAGACUAGAACAGGAGACCUAAAAGGAACUUUAGAGAUUAUUUAGUCCAAAUUCCUUAAUUAUAGAGGGGAAGCGAGGCCCAGAGAAGGAAGGUGAUGUGCCCUGGAUUGCACAGCUAAUUAAUAACCAAGUUCAGUAGAAACUCAGGUCUUCUGGUUCACAGAAACACUCCAAGAUCCACCCUGACUCUGGGCAAGCCAGACUCUCCAUGGGCAUGUAGCCCUUACCACAGAUGGGGAGGGCGGGGGACAUUUGCCUGCCCCCUGGCAGGCAUUAAGAUGUCUGGCUUCUCUAUUUCUUCUUGCACCAGAGGUAUAUAAGGAGGGCCAAAGUUUCUGGAAAGACCCUCUGUUCUCUGGAAUGAGGACACACUGUGGUGGCUGCAUGGAGACCUGUCUGGGACAGGCGGAUGGUAUACGAUGUAAGAAGCACAAGGUGGUCCUCACUAGGGUGUCUGGGCCUGCUUCUGGAACAUUCUUGGGUGUCUCUAGUCUUUUCAUGUGGCCUCACAGAAUUAUCCCUGAAGCCAGAGUGGAUUUAAUUUACUUUGGUUUAAUACGACUGUUUUUGGAGGAAAGGAAACAGAUCAAAUUUAAACCAAAAGUUUACUAACAUUUCUGAAAAGCUUGGUGAUUACCAAGCAAGAAAAAUUUGGAUUAAUAGGUAUGGUAGUGUAGCUUUGUCAGGGACAUAAAUACUUAGUACAUUUAACAUGUUUAUUAAUUUCCAGGGUCAUUUUCAUAAAUAGGCAAAACUUCCAUAGAUUCAUAGGAACAUAUGGAUAUAUAGUCAUAUUAUAUUUACAUAAUACACUUAUGUAAUAUAU